ACCAAAGCUGGGAGAGGAAGAGAGAGAGGCAUACAGAGGGAAGACGUGACAUGGAAUAUUAUUUCCCCAUCACAGCAGUCUGGAAUGAGGUUUGACCAUAGCUGUGAGACAGAGAAAAGAGGCACAUUAUGUAGAGAGUAGAAACGGGACAUGGAAUAACAUAUCACUGCAGUUUGAAGAUGCAGGGUUUAACUGAUAAGUCCAUUUGUGUCUACUUUGAGUCAUGAAAUAGGACUGUUAUGUGCUGUUUGUUCUAUACAAGACCAAGGUAAUGUUACUUAGGCAUCACUCGGUAGCAUGCAUACAGUGCAUAGUAAGUAAUGGUUAACUUGCCUCGCUAGUACUAUAUAGUAUCAUACUCAGAUACAAAUAACAGCAGCGCCAUCUAUUGGCUUGGCGACAUCUCGUAACAAGGACGAUAAGAGGCAUGUUGUUCAACAUGACAUCAGGACGCAUUACAGCUAUGAUUUUGUUCAACAGGUAAGCAACAUUUCCUCCUUUAUACUGAUUAAGGACAUAGAUGGAUAGAUAUACACAACAAAAAAACCAUAUAUGGGAGGCAGGCAAAUACCUUUCACUGAGAUGUGUAAAGACAGAUUGACAGGGCUGAGACAAUUAAUUGUAAUUUAUCUUAUUCUUUUGUUGUUUGCAGGUGCACUAUCCUUCUGACUAUGCAGCCAGGUCCCAUCUACUUUUUAACUCCUCGCAAGUGUGGCUUGUUUGGUGUCUGCUGUGAAGGAAUACCACAAGUUAACUACUUGAUUGAUGAAGGCAUGUCAUCCAGCAAAGGCAGCAGCGCAGUCAUCAACUACAAUCACCAUUUCUUCACCAACUACGGAGUUGGGGAAACACAUGUGGACCUGAAUUGUGAUAACUGCAGUGGCCAAAACAAGAACAAGUUUGUGCUCUGGUAUUGUGCCUGGCACAAGCUCCACCUCAGUCUGGCCCCAGACUGGUGCUUUGGCCUCAUUAAGCAACGCUUCAAAAAGACCAGAAUGAACACUGUCUGAGAUUGCUGGUGUUGUGAAGAACAGCACUGUGACGGGUCAACAUCCCACACUGGUUGGACUAGAGGAUGGUACGGUGCUGUUGGAAAGCUAUGGCUGGCAACAACACCUGACUCAGAUCAAGCAGUACCAGCACUUCAGCUUCGAUACUCUGGAGCCUGGUGUUGUCACCAAGGAGAGUUCAGACUGUCGGGACCAGGUUUCAGCUGCUGCACAACGCUAACAUCCUUCCUCCCAUAGAUGGUCUGCCUGUACAAACACCACCUGGACUGGACACAACUAGACAAACUAUCUUUUUGACAAGAUCAGGGAGUUUUGCGACAAAGAGGCUAUGGACAUCACAUGCCCUGCACCAAAGUCAAGGGCAGGACAGAAACAGACUCUCCGAAUAUAGAUUCCCUUGUUCAUGUGUGGUUCGGAUGGAACAGUCGUCAGCACCAUCUGCAGUGCCUCUAUUCAAAUGACUCUCUCCUAACACACACGCCAUACGCUGCUGCUACUAUUUUUUUAUUAUCCUGCUGCUCAGCCACUUUACCCCUGAUUGUAUGCAUAUAACUACCUCAUCUAUCACUUUCGUUAUUGAUAUGGUUCGUGUACAUACUGUAUAUUUUAUUUAUAUUGACACUAUCCAUUUCUGAUAUUGCUACUAUGCAAGUAACCAUUUGGCUGUACCGUUUACAACUUCUGUAGAGACCCAUCCACUUAGCAAAAUAUUGAUAUAUAUGUUGUAACAUGAUUUUGUGACAUACCACAACAAUAUCAUGUGGCCGUAUCAUGUGUCCACCACACAAAUAUAUGGAGCAUGCAUCUGUUUAUGUACUGUACAUGUGCAGCUCACUCAGGUUGCAUGGCCUUAACUUAUGUAUGGAAUACUAUGUGAUAAGUGCGUGUGUAACAGUAUAUAAAGUAUGCUAAUGUACUGGUGUUAAGGCAUUUUGGCAGUGGUGUAAAGUACUUAAGUAGUAUUUUUUGGGGGUAUCUGUACAUUACUUUUUCAGAAACUUUUACUUCACUACAUUCCUAAAGAAAAGAAUGUACUUUUUACUCCAUACAUUUUUCCUCAUUACAAGUACUCAUUACAUUUUGACAGGAAAAUUGUCCAAUUCACACACUUAUCAAGAGAACAUCCCUAGUCAUCCCUACUGCAUUUGAUCUGGCAGAAUCACUAAACACAAAUGCUUUGUUUGUAAAUUGUCUGAGUGUGCCCCUGGCUAUCCGUCAAAAAUAAAUUACAAAUUGGGCCAUCUGGUUUAAUAUAAGGAAUUUGAUACUUAAGUACAUUUUACCAUUUCAUUUACUUUUGACACUUAAGUAUUUUUAAAACCAAAUACUUUUAGACUUUUGCUCAAGUAAUAUUUUACUGGGUGACUUACCUUAAUAGAAAAUGACUGAAGUAAAAGUAUGUUUACAUUUA